rnacentral:rRNA from 1 species
AGCGGUGGAGCAUGUGGUUUAAUUCGAAGCAACGCGAAGAACCUUACCAGGUCUUGACAUCCUUUGACCACUCUAGAGAUAGAGCUUCCCCUUCGGGGGCAAAGUGACAGGUGGUGCAUGGUUGUCGUCAGCUCGUGUCGUGAGAUGUUGGGUUAAGUCCCGCAACGAGCGCAACCCUUAUUGUUAGUUGCCAUCAUUCAGUUGGGCACUCUAGCAAGACUGCCGGUGACAAACCGGAGGAAGGUGGGGAUGACGUCAAAUCAUCAUGCCCCUUAUGACCUGGGCUACACACGUGCU